UGCCACAGCCAUAUCACCCUGCAGCCCAAGACCGGUUACUCACUGAACCUAAGCUGGGCUGAACCUGGUCAGUAACUGAAUGGGAGACUACAUAGAAAAACUAGGAUGCUGUUGGAA
ensembl:rRNA 5S_rRNA 5S ribosomal RNA